rnacentral:rRNA from 1 species
GACGAACGCUGGCGGCAUGCCUAAUACAUGCAAGUCGAGCGGAGUUGACGAGAAGCUUGCUUCUCUGAUACUUAGCGGCGGACGGGUGAGUAACACGUAGGCAACCUGCCUUUCAGUUUGGGAUAACUUCCGGAAACGGAUGCUAAUACCGAAUACAUCAUCUUCUGGCAUCAGAGAAUGAGGAAAGACGGCGCAAGCUGUCACUGAGAGAUGGGCCUGCGGCGCAUUAGCUAGUUGGUGGGGUAAUGGCUCACCAAGGCGACGCUGCGUAGCCGACCUGGGAGGGUGAACGGCCACACUGGGACUGAGACACGGCCCAGACUCCUACGGGAGGCAGCAGUAGGGAACCUUCCACAAUGGGCGAAAGCCUGAUGGAGCAAUGCCGCGUGAGUGAUGAAGGUUUUCGGAUCGUAAAGCUCUGUUGCCAGGGAAGAACGUCCGGGUGAGUAACUGCACCCGGAGUGACGGUACCUGAGAAGAAAGCCCCGGCUAACUACGUGCCAGCCGCCGCCGUAA